rnacentral:rRNA from 1 species
GAUGAACGCUGGCGGCGUGCCUAAUACAUGCAAGUCGAGCGAACAGACGAGGAGCUUGCUCCUUUGACGUUAGCGGCGGACGGGUGAGUAACACGUAGGUAACCUACCUAUAAGACUGGGAUAACUUCGGGAAACCGGAGCUAAUACCGGAUAAUAUUUCGAACCGCAUGGUUCGAUAGUGAAAGAUGGCUUUGCUAUCACUUAUAGAUGGACCUGCGCCGUAUUAGCUAGUUGGUAAGGUAACGGCUUACCAAGGCAACGAUACGUAACCGACCCGAGAGGGAGAUCCGCCACACUGGAACGGAGGCACGGUCCAGACUCCGACGGGAGGCAGCAGUAGGGAAUCUUACGCAAUGGGGGAAAGCCUGACGGAGCAACGCCGCGUGAGUGAUGAAGGUCUUCUGAUCGUAAAACUCUGUUAUCAGGGAAGAACAAAAGUGUAAGUAACCGUGCACAUCUUGACGGUACCUAAUCAGAAAGCCCCGGCUAACUACGUG